rnacentral:rRNA from 1 species
CUACGGGCGGCAGCAGUGGGGAAUCUUAGACAAUGGGGGAAACCCUGAUCUAGCCAUGCCGCGUGAGUGAUGAAGGCCUUAGGGUCGUAAAGCUCUUUCGCCAGGGAUGAUAAUGACAGUACCUGGUAAAGAAACCCCGGCUAACUCCGUGCCAGCAGCCGCGGUAGUACGGAGGGGGUUAGCGUUGUUCGGAAUUACUGGGCGUAAAGCGCGCGUAGGCGGGCUGUUAAGUUAGAGGUGAAAUCCCGGGGCUCAACCCCGGAACUGCCUUUAAUACUGGCAGGCUAGAGUUCGGGAGAGGGGGGUGGAAUUCCGAGUGUAGAGGUGAAAUUCGUAGAUAUUCGGAGGAACACCAGUGGCGAAGGCGGCUCACUGGCUCGAUACUGACGCUGAGGUGCGAAAGCGUGGGGAGCAAACAGGAUUAGAUACCCGUGUAGUC